rnacentral:sRNA from 1 species
GGCAGAAAUUUGAAGAAAAUUGAACAUGAAACAGGGACCAAGAUAACAAUCUCAUCUUUGCAGGAUUUGAGCAUAUACAACCCGGAAAGAACCAUCACUGUGAAGGGCACAGUUGAGGCCUGUGCCAGUGCUGAGAUAGAGAUUAUGAAGAAGCUGCGUGAGGCCUUUGAAAAUGAUAUGCUGGCUGUUAACGUAAGUCCCUAAUGCUUUCUUCUCCGCUGGUUUUCACAAGGCUAAAAAUACUUGCCAUUCAGCUAAUGAGGAAGUGCCUUAGGAUAGGUAUGCAGAGUUUUUCCUGACUUCCUAGGAUAAAGGCAUUAAAAUAAUCAGGAAACCAACUAGUAAAUUAUGAUAAGUGCGCUGGACAACAUCACGUGAAGACAUUAAAAUUAUAACUUUGAAGACUGAAAUAAGGAAAAGCUUAUGAUAUAAUGUUUAUUAAGAAAAGCAAGA